GCGGAAGUGGCUCAGUUGGUAGAGCAUCACCUUGCCAAGGUGAGGGUCGCGGGUUCGAGUCCCGUCUUCCGCUCGA
rnacentral:tRNA from 2 species